rnacentral:rRNA from 1 species
GAUCCUGGCUUAGAACGAACGCUGGCGGCGCGUCUUAAGCAUGCAAGUCGAGCGGUAAGUUGGAAGCUUGCUUCUAACCUAGAGCGGCGGACUGGUGAGUAACGCGUGGGUGACGUACCCUUGUGACGGGGACAGCUGGUAGAAAUAUCAGAUAAUACCGGAUACGCUGAGUGUUGUCAGAGGACACUCAGGAAAGGAACUUUUGUUCCGCACGAGGAGCGGCCCGCGUACUAUUAGCUAGUUGGUGAGGUAACGGCCCACCAAGGCGACGAUAGUUACCGGCCUAAGAGGGUGAUCGGGCACAUUGGGACUGAGAUACGGCCCAGACUCCUACGGGAGGCAGCAGCUAAGAAUAUUCCGCAAUGGACGAAAGUCUGACGGAGCGACGCCGCGUGGAUGAUGAAGGCCCGGAAGGUUGUAAAAUCCUUUUAUGACUGAGGAAUAAGAGUGGUGAGAGAAACGCCAUUUGGUGACUGUAGGUCAUGAAUAAGCAACGGCUAAUUACGUGCCAGCCGCAGC